GAUGAACGCUGGCGGCGUGCCUAAUACAUGCAAGUCGAGCGAACAGACGAGGAGCUUGCUCCUCUGACGUUAGCGGCGGACGGGUGAGUAACACGUGGAUAACCUACCUAUAAGACUGGGAUAACUUCGGGAAACCGGAGCUAAUACCGGAUAAUAUAUUGAACCGCAUGGUUCAAUAGUGAAAGACGGUUUUGCUGUCACUUAUAGAUGGAUCCGCGCCGCAUUAGCUAGUUGGUAAGGUAACGGCUUACCAAGGCGACGAUGCGUAGCCGACCUGAGAGGGUGAUCGGCCACACUGGAACUGAGACACGGUCCAGACUCCUACGGGAGGCAGCAGUAGGGAAUCUUCCGCAAAGGGCGAAAGCUUGACGGAGCAACGCCGCGUGAGUGAUGAAGGUCUUCGGAUCGUAAAACUCUGUUAUUAGGGAAGAACAAAAGUGUAAGUAACUAUGCACGUCUUGACGGUACCUAAUCAGAAAGCCACGGCUAACUACGUG
rnacentral:rRNA from 1 species